rnacentral:rRNA from 1 species
GAUGAACGCUGGCGGCGUGCCUAAUACAUGCAAGUCGAGCGAACAGACGAGGAGCUUGCUCCUCUGACGUUAGCGGCGGACGGGUGAGUAACACGUGGAUAACCUACCUAUAAGACUGGGAUAACUUCGGGAAACCGGAGCUAAUACCGGAUAAUAUAUUGAACCGCAUGGUUCAAUAGUGAAAGACGGUUUUGCUGUCACUUAUAGAUGGAUCCGCGCCGCAUUAGCUAGUUGGUAAGGUAACGGCUUACCAAGGCGACGAUGCGUAGCCGACCUGAGAGGGUGAGCGGCCACACUGGAACUGAGACACGGUCCAGACUCCUACGGGAGGCAGCAGUAGGAAAUCUUCCGCAAGGGGCGAAAGCCUGACGGAGCAACGCCGCGUGAGUGAUGAAGGUCUUCGGAUCGGAAAACUCUGUUAUUAGGGAAGAACAAAUGUGUAAGUAACUAUGCACGUCUUGACGGUACCUAAUCAGAAAGCCACGGCUAACUACG